rnacentral:rRNA from 1 species
GACGGGGCCCGCACAAGCGGCGGAGCAUGCGGAUUAAUUCGAUGCAACGCGAAGAACCUUACCAAGGCUUGACAUACACCGGUAACGCCCAGAGAUGGGUGCCCCUUUGUGGUCGGUGUACAGGUGGUGCAUGGUUGUCGUCAGCUCGUGUCGUGAGAUGUUGGGUUAAGUCCCGCAACGAGCGCAACCCUCGUCCUAUGUUGCCAGCGGGUCAUGCCGGGGACUCAUGGGAGACUGCCGGGGUCAACUCGGAGGAAGGUGGGAUGACGUCAAAUCAUCAUGCCCCUUAUGUCUUGGGCUUCACGCAUGCUACAAUGGCCGAUACAAAGGGCAGCAAUACCGCGAGGUGGAGCGAAUCCCAAAAAGUCGGCCCCAGUUCAGAUUGGAGUCUGCAACUCGACUCCAUGAAGUCGGAAUUGCUAGUAAUCGCAGGUCAGCAUACUGCGGUGAAUACGUUCCCGGGCCUU